rnacentral:rRNA from 1 species
GUAGGUGGCAAGCGUUGUCCGGAAUUAUUGGGCGUAAAGCGCGCGCAGGUGGUUCGUUUAAGUCUGAUGUGAAAGACCCCCGGGCUCGAACCCGGGGAGGGUCAUUGGAAACUGGGGGAACUUGAGUGCAGGAGAGGAAAGUGGAAUUCCACGUGUAGCGGUGAAAUGCGUAGAUAUGUGGAGGAACACCAGUGGCGAAGGCGACUUUCUGGCCUGUAACUGACACUGAGGCGACGAAAGCGGUGGGGAGACAAACAGGAUUAGAUACCCUGGUAGUCCACGACCGUAAACGAUGAGUGCUAAGUGGGUUUCGGGGGGGUUUCCCGCCCCUCAGUGCUGCAGACUAACGCUAUUGAGCACUCCGCCUGGGGGUACGGUCGCAAAGACUG